rnacentral:lncRNA from 10 species
AUGCAUGAUACUGCACUAAUCGUACUAUCUUACUGAGUCCUCAUAAAGCCUGUAUGUGGUAGGUACUAUUAUCUCCCUUAUUUUAUAGUUAAAGAAAUCCAGACUUUUGAGAUAAUUUACCUUGGAUCACACAGCUGGUAAACGUGGCAAUGCCAGGAUUCUAAUUCAGGCCUCACUCCAGACUCCAUGUUCUUAACUGUAAUAUUAAUAGUAUAUACUAUCCCAUCCCACACAGGCCCUGGAGCAAGAUUUCUUUUCUGAGCAAAUAUUUCCCCUCCAGCUCCAUGCCUCUCUGAACAUAAGUAUCUCCCCUUUGCCCUGAGACACCACCACCUUGGACUGCUCAAAGGGCAAGGGCUCCUGCUCUGGCACCAGGAACCUCUUCUUCCAGAAUCUAUGCCCUCUGUAAAGGAGAAUGAAGACGAUAGUGUUUCUACCUUCAAAAGCAUGAGUUCAGAGAAACCAGCUCUCCACACCACCUCAGCUGAAGCACAGGAGAAAGGCAUUUGUCCCUGACUCCCACCUAGUGGCUUCUUCCAGCACUGCACAGGGACAAAGAACCACCACUGAUGCCACCUGAGCCCGGCCCAGGAGCCCCUUGGGAGCUGAGCGCAGAAAGAAAGCACGGACACACCUACUCCUUUCUCAUCUCUCACUCAAGUUCACACCUGUCACAGGGGAGGUAAGAAAACAUGCUGGAAAUCGGCUCACACAGGCUCUACUUUUUUUCUUGAAAAAUAAGCACCAAAUUUUCCCUCCUCUAAGAUCCAGAGGAAAAGGUUUACCUACAAAACUCCUUCUGUAACUUUUCAAAAUUGAAAUGUUCAACACACACGUAUCCUGACUAUCUUUUGUUUUCCAUUCUGGAGAUACAGAAAUGAAUCCCAUGGUAAAAAAAUUCAAGCUCACAUUUUAUAAUUCAUAAAACAGCUUUUUCUCUCCACUUUUUUUUUUGCAACUCCUCUAGCUUUUCAAUAUGGUAAACAGAUUUGCUUCUUGGACAGAAUGAAAGAUUGCAAGCUGAAUCUGGCAGGAAUGUAUGGGCUUUGUUUGAGGAGCUGGGAGCUGAAGAAACCGCCAUCUGUGACAAGGUGGUUUGGAGCUGAGAAGGGGGGGUGGCUGUGCUCCCCAGCCUGGGUCUGGGUUUCUUUGUUUCUUGGGAAACUAGUUAAAAAGGUAACUGAGGGCACCUGAACUGACUGCUGGGCUAUCAGAGGUGAGCACUUAUCCCAGCUGGGGCCAGCAGAGGCUGCUCAUUCAGGAGAGCAACUCUUCAGGUUUUUCAAUAUGGUAAACAGAUUUGCCUCUCCACUGUUGAGAUGUGGGCCUCCAUCAAGCUCUAACAUAAGGGCAGCAGUAAACUGAGAGGUUCCUAACCUGUCUCCACACUUUGGAACCCAAGAGGUCAAGACUGAGGGAGGCAAAGGCUGGUGCUUACAAAGAGACCACUCCAUAUAGCCCCCAGAACAAACUGCAGAAUUGGAAUGCUUGGCCAGAUCUUGCAGACACUUUCAAACUCAGCUGUCAUUUCCAGUAGGGAAACUGAGUCCCACAGAAGUGAAGAAGAGGCUCAUGAGUGGUAGAGCCAGGGUAGAACCCUGGCCUUUUAACUCCUUCCUACCUUCCAUACUCCCUCACCCUGGUUCAAUCUGCUUUCACCUGCUCAAGCACACUGACCAGGACUCUUGAGACCUUGCAAAGAAAAGCCUGGGUUCCUAUUGGAUGGCCAAGCCUACUCCAUGUACCCCAGUUCCAAACAGGGCCUAGAGUACAUACAGCCCUUCUGUGGGUUCUCUGCCAAGCACCACCCCUCACCCUGGAGCCUGAGCUCUUCCUUGACUUGCCUUCACUUUGCUGCUGGGUUUGCCUGCCCUUUCUCUGGCUUCAUCUUGAAACUUCACCAAGAAUCUCCUUGGCCCAUACCCAAUGUAUUAAACAGCAGAACAGACUGGCUGGCUGGUAGGAGAUGAAGGGUGUACAUAACAUACUGUUAGAGAAGCACCCAUGGCUACUUCAUAUGGAGACUCUGCUGGCUCUGGUAUCUUCUGGGCGUCACCCAAAGACCUGGGACACGAAUCAACACUGUGUAUCAGCCUAGGUCUACUCCUCCCAGCUAACUGGCUAUCCCCAGCCCUGUAGAGCCCAUCUGAAUCUGACUGGCUAUCCUGUCUAAGGUUUCCACCACCCAACCUAGCCAAAGAUCUAUGCCACUAACCACCAGCCAAGCCAAGCAGGUGUGGAGGGGUAGAGACACCCCUUUCAGACCAUGGGAAAGCCCCACUCAAGGCACAGCCAAAAUCCUGGAAGUGGUCACAGUUGUACCGGGUCCUUCUUGCCUGGGCCAGGUACCACAUGCCAGGGCCACUGAUGAUUACAUGCCAGCAUAUGCCAGGGCCACUGAUGAGCACUGCUUCCCUUUCUGGGCUUCAGGACCACCUGUGGGGUUCUGGGGCUCCUGAACUGAAAUAACCACACCCUCCCGAGGGCAUCAUCCUACAUUUCACCAUAGUAAACAGAGAAGGAGGAGGCUGCCCCUUUUCUAGAACUCAGCUCUGUUCCCAUCACAAAAGAGCUGCCUCAGCCUUCCAGCCAGGGCCUCAGCUUCAUCCUCCAUGAGCACUGACCCUGAGCUUGGCUGUGUCUUCCAGUUGUAAAGGACUACCUUCCCAUCUCCUGAGGGUAACACUGCUCUGCUGCACCACAGGCAGGACAGCCUCCCUGAUGCUUCCUCUGCAGGCCAGGUCCCAGCCCAUCUUAGACCCCAAGACACCCUCUAUACAAGGUCCUCAUUCACCAACUUUCCAGAGGAAAUACUGCUCCUAGACCAAGGGAAUCCAAGCCCUUUGUUCCUUGCCCCACUGAGGCCCCAGAGGGUAUCCCCAUUAAGAAAGCCUUGCACAUGCCCUUCUAGGCCCAGAGCCCACUUCUCCUCAUUAUACUUACCAAGGAGCAGGAUGCUAGUUUAGACUCCAGAGCAUGGGAAACUCACUUAACCCAGUGCCACUGACUCCUGGGCAGGUCUGCUCCACUUGGGCUUUAGAACUAGUCGCCUCUGUUUUAUACCCAUCUCCAGGCAAAGUCCUGGCCAACAGCACUCCUACUUCUGCCAACUGUGCUGGCCCAGCUGUGCUUUAGCUCUGCCAGGACCCAGAAGAAGAGGAACCAGCCCUACCACAAAGAAACAGCUACCCAAUAGGAGGCACUAGGACUAGGAGUGCCCUUUUCAUGUAAGACAUAGAGAGCCCAGGACUAGUCUGCUAUUUGUCCUAUUCUAACUAUGGACCACUCCUCCACAUCUACCCCUGCUUCUCAGCAGCCCAUUCUUCUGAUGGACCACAGAUGCUCCAGUGCCAGAAGAUCUGCAGUCCCAGAUGAGCAGCAGCAGUACAAGAUACAUUUCCCACUAUGUAAUCCCUCCCCUCUGCUAACAGUUGAUUCACUCUGGGGUAGACACUGGACCUAAGGUGUGCAUCCAUAGCUUGUGAAUAAAUUAAAAGUCUUUAAUGUCUAUUUCUUUUACACUUAACGCUUCUUCAUUGAUCUGGAGGACUUCGCUCAAAAAUAAUUAACUGGGUCAAUCAGAUCCUUUUCCUUAGAAACUUGAGUUUAAAAAGAAAACAUAUUGAGAAAACAUGGAAAGAAUUUGUCAGCCAACAAGAGUAAACUCAAACCUAACAGAAGUCUGUGGCAGUCACUCUGAGCUGUCUUCCUGAGGGCCACUUUCCCCCACUCUAUCAUCAUUCUUUUCUGACAGAGGCCACCUCCCUCUAUGGCAGGUGGAAGUGCCAAUACUUGCUUUCCCAGCCUCCCUUGCAGCUAGGGUAUGCACAGGUGAACAAAUUCUGGCCACUGCAGCUAAAUGGGAAGUCUGCUAGGGGGUUGCAGAGAGUUUCCCUCCUGAUUAAAAACAACAAAAACAUACUAAAGAAAUGAUUCUCUACCUCUGCACACAGUUGUAUAGUUGUGUCUUGUAAGGACAUGUUGCCUGCAGUUCUAGUGGCCAUCUUGCAACUGUUAUGGGAUGUGCCUGAGCAAAAACCACCCCUUGAGGAUGGCAAAGAAAAAAGAUGGGAAGAACCAGUACCCAUGAGGUCACUCAGAGCCACUUAUUUAACCCUGGGACUGUCUGUCUUCUGGACAUCUUGUUAGUGGUCUAUCUUGUUAUUGUUUACAUCAUUUUACUGGAAAAAGUAUCCCAACUGAUAUAGGUGUCACGAGGCAGAGUUGGACCAUGUCAGGCCAGUGUCAUGGCCAAGCAGGAAUUCUAGGUGUGAACAAUGCCAAUGUGUCUACAGAGGAGAAGGGAGCAAAUAUGCAAGGGAUGCACAGACAUCAUGCAUGAGAAGGCGCUGGGCAGUGCUGCCUAAUCCUUCAAACCAUCUUACUAGUUCCAACUCCAAUCCUAACCCACAUGGGACUUUAAAAAAAUAAUUCAACUGAGUCUCCAGGGUUGAACGCAGCGCUUCUUAAACUUUAAUGUGCUUACGAGUCACCUGGAGAUGGUUCAGCAAGUGUGAGAUGGGAGCCCAUAGUCUGCAUUUUUCACAAGCUACGAGGGGAUAAGAAAGCUGCUGAGCCACAGACCAAAAUUUGAGCAGCAACAACUUCUAACUAAAAGUGUCAAUCUAAAGCACUUGAUGAGUUUGCUCACCAGUCUGAAUUCUAUUCCCAUACAGAUUAAGACCUUGUGUGGAAUGUGGAUGUGCUGAUCAUAAAAUGACUUUAGGUCUGCAAGAUCUAAAACACAGACAGGCUAUCUCUGUCCAGAAUAAAAACCUUAACAUGCAGCCCUUACAACUUGGAAUGUUUAUAUGAACUUCUGACCCCCUAAAAGUACUUGCUUCGCCAUGCAUAGGUUAGUGAUGGCCAUAAUUACUCUAGAAGAUUUAUGAAUGCAAUCACUUUUAGGGAAAUCUCUUCAAAGGAAGGCAUUCCCUAAACCAUUGUAAAUAACCCCAAGACAAAACUGCAAAUCUGAAUGCAAGCUGUUUUCUACCAAUGCAUCUUGAAAAAACCAACAACAAUGUCAACUGCCUUUGGAUCAAAAAUAUUUUUAAUAAAUUUCCAAAAACUGUUUUAAAAGUUAGAUUCAUUGUUUAUACCAAAUGCUAAAAAAUAUUGUUGAUGGAUUGGAGUUAACCAUAAAAUAAAAAUCAAACCAUAAACUUACUAGAGGAAGAUACAGGUGAACAGUUAUCUGUUCUGAGGUUGGGAAAGGCGUUGCUAGGGCCAAAAGGAAAACAAGAAACCAAAAUAGGAAAGACUGAUAGAGUCAAGUACAGUUGUUUAAAAUUCUGUGUCUCAGAAAGCACCUAAACGUUAUUUAAAAACAGAGUGAGGAAAAUAUAUGCUACAAAUAAAGCAAACGGCUAAUAAAAGGUCAUUCAAAUAGAUAAGAAAAACACUAAAAUCCUAAUAGAAAACAACAGCAUAGACUACGAAUAGACUAGAGUGGGAGAGGUGCAUCCAAGAGGCUCAAGGUGAUUUCUGGGUGUACAGGGAAAAAUAUGGGAACUAUUUUUUAACCUAUCCUUUAAAACUCUAUUUUGGUGAACAGUGGAUACCCUAAAUACCCUGACUGACUUGAUCACUAUGUGUUAUAUACAUGUAAGGAAAUUUCACAUGUACCCCAC